rnacentral:rRNA from 1 species
UCUACCCUCAAAUCGGGGAUAACAACGCGAAAGCGAUGCUAAUACCGGAUAAUAUCCUGUGAACGAUUGUUUAUUGGAUUAAAGGUGGCCUCUAUAUAUAAGCUACCGUUUGAAGAUGAGCCCGCGUACCAUUAGCUAGUUGGUAGGGUAAUGGCCUACCAAGGCUUCGAUGGUUAGCUGGUCUGAGAGGAUGAUCAGCCACACUGGAACUGACACACGGUCCAGACUCCUACGGGAGGCAGCAGUGAGGAAUUUUGCGCAAUGGGGGAAACCCUGACGCAGCAACGCCGCGUGAGUGAUGAAGGCCUUCGGGUCGUAAAGCUCUGUCAAGUGGGAAGAAAAUAUAAAAUGCAAAUACCAUUUUGUACUGACGGUACCACUGAAGGAAGCACCGGCUAACUCCGUGCCAGCAGCCGCGGUAA